GAUGAAGAACGUAGUGAAAUGCGAUACGUAAUGUGAAUUGCAGAAUUCAGUGAAUCAUCGAGUCUUUGAACGCACAUUGCGCCCUCUGGUAUUCCGGAGGGCAUGCCUGUCCGAGCGUCAUUGCUGCCCUCAAGCACGGCUUGUGUGUUGGGCCCCGUCCUCCUUCCGGGGGACGGGUCCGAAAGGCAGCGGCGGCACCGCGUCCGGUCCUCAAGCGUAUGGGGCUUUGUCACUCGCUUUGUAGGCCUGGCCGGCGCUUGCCGAUCAACCAAACUUUUUAUCAGGUUGACCUCGGAUCAGGUAGGGAUACCCGCUGAACUUAAGCAUAUCAAUAAGCGGAGGA
rnacentral:misc_RNA from 1 species